AGAGUUUGAUCCUGGCUCAGAUUGAACGCUGGCGGAAUGCUUUACACAUGCAAGUCGAGCGGCAGCGCGGGGCAACCUGGCGGCGAGCGGCGAACGGGUGAGUAAUACAUCGGAACGUGCCCAGACGUGGGGGAUAACUACUCGAAAGAGUGGCUAAUACCGCAUACGAUCUGAGGAUGAAAGCGGGGGAUCGCAAGACCUCGCGCGUCUGGAGCGGCCGAUGGCAGAUUAGGUAGUUGGUGGGAUAAAAGCUUACCAAGCCGACGAUCUGUAGCUGGUCUGAGAGGAUGAUCAGCCACACUGGGACUGAGACACGGCCCAGACUCCUACGGGAGGCAGCAGUGGGGAAUUUUGGACAAUGGGGGCAACCCUGAUCCAGCCAUUCCGCGUGAGUGAAGAAGGCCUUCGGGUUGUAAAGCUCUUUCAGCUGGAACGAAACGGUGCGCUCUAACAUAGCGUGCUAAUGACGGUACCAGCAGAAGAAGCACCGGCUAACUACGUGCCAGCAGCCGCGGUAAUACGUAGGGUGCGAGCGUUAAUCGGAAUUACUGGGCGUAAAGCGUGCGCAGGCGGUUUUGUAAGACAGAGGUGAAAUCCCCGGGCUCAACCUGGGAACUGCCUUUGUGACUGCAAGGCUGGAGUGCGGCAGAGGGGGAUGGAAUUCCGCGUGUAGCAGUGAAAUGCGUAGAUAUGCGGAGGAACACCGAUG
rnacentral:rRNA from 1 species